ACGACCUUACUUGAACAGGAUCUGUUCUAUAGGCUCGUACCUCUGUAUUCUUGAUUCCUAAGGAGACAGCAACCCAUGUCUGGUUGAUGAGCCAGAACCCUGUAGCCAGAGCGUGAUUAACAGAUACACAUGUUCUAGGCCAUGGCUCGGUAGAUGAUCGUUCCCAUCCCAUCUUAUGGGUCUUGGCAUGGUUACAUGGUUGUCUGACAGAUA